CCCUUAGAUGUUCUGGGCCGCACGCGCGCUACACUGAAGCGUUCAACGAGUAUUCACCUUGCCCGGGAGGGUUGGGUAAUCUUUUGAAAACGCUUCGUGAUGGGGAUAGAUUAUUGCAAUUAUUAAUCUUCAACGAGGAAUUCCUAGUAAGCGCGAGUCAUCAGCUCGUGCUGAUUACGUCCCUGCCCUUUGUACACACCGCCCGUCGCACCUACCGAUUGAAUGGUCCGGUGAAGCCUCCGGAUUGGCGCGCACCUCGGUGCCGCCGAGAAGUUGGCUAAACCUUACCAUUUAGAGGAAGGUGAAGUCGUAACA
rnacentral:rRNA from 1 species